rnacentral:rRNA from 1 species
CCCUUAGAUGUCCUGGGCCGCACGCGCGUUACACUGAUGCAUUCAACGAGCUUAUAACCUUGGCCGAGAGGCCUGGGCAAUCUUGUUAACGUGCAUCGUGAUAGGGAUAGAUUAUUGAAAUUAUUAAUCUUCAACGAGGAAUUCCUAGUAAGUAACAGUCAUCAACUGUUGUUGAUUACGUCCCUGCCCUUUGUACACACCGCCCGUCGCUACUACUGAUUGGGUGUUCAAGCGAGAUUCUUUGAUUUUAAGAUGAAUAAUUCGAACUUGUUUAGAUUUAAAGAAGAGUAUCAAGCUUCUGCAUUUAGAGGAAGUAAAAGUCGUAACA